UACGGGGGGGGCAAGCGUUGUUCGGAAUUACUGGGCGUAAAGGGCUCGUAGGUGGCCAACUAAGUCAGACGUGAAAUCCCCGGGCUCAACCCGGGAACUGCGUCCGAUACUGGAAGGCUUGAAUCCGGGAGAGGGAUGCGGAAUUCCAGGUGUAGCGGUGAAAUGCGUAGAUAUCUGGAGGAACACCGGUGGCGAAGGCGGCAUCCUGGACCGGCAUUGACGCUGAGGCGCGAAAGCCAGGGGAGCAAGCGGG
rnacentral:rRNA from 1 species